UUUGAGUUAUUUUGAAACUGGUUAAGGACAUUAAUAUCUGAUCUAAAAGGUAUUAUGAUGGAACACUUGAGUUAGUUUCUAGCAGAGGAGAAUGUUAUUGAUUCUAUGGAUGAUCUAGAGGUAGCUAUGUAAUUUUCACCAGUGGGUUCUUCUAUUGUUGACAAUUUUUGGGAGAACCUUGGGCAUCUUAAAUUUAGCGUUAACGGUUGGUGAUUCCUUGAUUGGUCUUAGAUUUGGAAUAUUUUAACAUGGAUCUCCUAUUUUGUUG
rnacentral:lncRNA from 1 species